AAAGGAAGAUUCAUCGCAAGGAUGUAACAGGCAGUUUCCUACCCAUUUGAGAACGAUCAAGAGUGGGAGAAGCACACACUCUGUCUGUCCCUGACGUGUGCGGUCCACCUCCCUCCUCUUCUGGACCAUCCUCAACUCUGUAGGGCCCCGGGUUGUUGACCCAGCUCUGACUCCAUGACCUCUGCAUUCAAGUGCUCAUUCUCAUCUCACAAGGGUCUUUGCUUUUUGGAGCAAAGUCUUGAGAUUCAGAGA
rnacentral:lncRNA from 1 species